AUGCUUGCUCUGCAGCCUACAUACUAAAAUUGGAACAAUACAGAGAAGAUUAGCAAGACCCCUGCACAAGGAUUACACGCAAAUUUGUGAAGCAUUUAAAUAAAAA
rnacentral:snRNA from 1 species